rnacentral:rRNA from 1 species
GAUGAACGCUGGCGGCGUGCCUAAUACAUGCAAGUCGAGCGAACGGACGAGAAGCUUGCUUCUCUGAUGUUAGCGGCGGACGGGUGAGUAACACGUGGAUAACCUACCUAUAAGACUGGGAUAACUUCGGGAAACCGGAGCUAAUACCGGAUAAUAUUUUGAACCGCAUGGUUCAAUAGUGAAAGACGGUCUUGCUGUCACUUAUAGAUGGAUCCGCGCUGCAUUAGCUAGUUGGUAAGGUAACGGCUUACCAAGGCUACGAUGCAUAGCCGACCUGAGAGGGUGAUCGGCCACACUGGAACUGAGACACGGUCCAGACUCCUACGGGAGGCAGCAGUAGGGAAUCUUCCGCAAUGGGCGAAAGCCUGACGGAGCAACGCCGCGUGAGUGGUGAAGGUCUUCGGAUCGUAAAACUCUGUUAUUAGGGAAGAACAUAUGUGUAAGUAACUGUGCACAUCUUGACGGUACCUAAUCAGAAAGCCACGGCUAACUACGUG